GUGGAUUAGAUACCCUGGUAGUCCACGCCGUAAACGAUGAUUGCUAGCCGUUGGGCAGCUUGCUGUUCAGUGGCGCAGCUAACGCAUUAAGCAAUCCGCCUGGGGAGUACGGCCGCAAGGUUGAAACUCAAAGGAAUUGACGGGGGCCCGCACAAGCGGUGGAGCAUGUGGUUUAAUUCGACGCAACGCGCAGAACCUUACCAGGGUUUGACAUCCUGCGACCGCCUCGUAAUUGGGGUUUUCCCGCAAGGGACGCAGAGACAGGUGCUGCAUGGUCGUCGCCAGCU
rnacentral:rRNA from 1 species